GGGCAGGUAGCUCAGCCUGGGAGAGCACCACGCUGAAGCCGUGGAUGUCGUGGGUUCAAAUCCCGCUCUGCCCA
rnacentral:tRNA from 1 species